rnacentral:piRNA from 1 species
UAGGGGACGUAGCUCUAUGAUUCAGGCAA